GGUUACAUGGUGUAAUGGUUAGCACUCUGGACUUUUAAUCCAGUGACCUGAGUUCAAAUCUCUGUGGAAUCU